GACGACAAACAUCGGUUGCCAACCGACCAAGUGCUCUCACCGGGCACUCACAGCACAUCCAAAGCACGGGGCAAUGCAUGCCCACGGCCACAGGACCAGUCAUGGCUCCACACAAAGGGCCACAGCUACCAUCGCUCAGCGCAAGGCCCACCUAGGACCACCAAAAGCCUGAGACGACAAACAUCGGUUGCCAACCGACCAAGUGCUCUCACCGGGCACUCACAGCACAUCCAAAGCACGGGGCAAUGCAUGCCCACGGCCACAGGACCAAUCAUGGCUCCACACAAAGGGCCACAGCUACCAUCGCUCAGCGCAAGGCCCACCUAGGACCACCAAAAGCCUGAGACGACAAACAUCGGCUGCCAACCGACCAAGUGCUCUCACCGGGCACUCACAGCGGAGUCACCCGCAAACAAAGUUCGUACAAAAAAGAACCACGCAUGCCAGUGCAACAUCAGCAACCCACACAGGGCAAAGCUCUGACCGCAGCUGCCGCACAAGCCAUGAAGCGCACCAGCGCACCACGUAAAGCAGAAGGUAAAGUUUUCCUCCGAAUCCCUGCAGGUGUAGGCCAAAGACGUCACCCACAUUCUCCAAAGAAGCCCAAUUCCCACGCUCGUCUAGGAUCUAGAGAUAUAAGGCUCCUUCAUGAUUUAAGUUCCUUCCUGAUCAGUCAGGCGACACGUGAUAAAGCAGCUCGUCUGCGCAAUCCGAAUGUCCCCCAUAAAGAUGCCUGUCUCUUUCGCCCGAAGCCGUUGGCAACUGGGCCAAAGAAAAUAGCAGGUUUCCCUUCAAGAUGUUGUCCUGCUCCUGCGGGCCGUCAAACCACCUGGUGGACAUCUCGUCACCUUCUUGCAUUGCUGUAUCUUUAUCUCCAAUCAUCAUGGACUUAUCGAUGGUAAUCCUGUGCAAGCUUCCCAACGGUCGCAACUCCAAGGCGACGUGCGCCGACUUGUCCUCGAGACGAGAAGGUAACCAAAGAAAAUAAGCAAAUCAGUCACCGACCCGACAAGCCGGGGCUCAUAACCUACAGUAAAUAGUCGCGCCUCCAGCGCUGACUAAUGAGCCAAAACGGGGCGCAAAAGAGACAACUCCAAGUCUCAUGCAGCUCACCGUUACAAAAGGCUACAAAUUACUGUAACAGCUGGUAAACGGUCCAGUUAAGCACAAGCUGGACAAGCGAGCUGACACUAUGCCCUAACCUUAAAUGACACUCCAAGGUCCCGAAGAGCAAUAGUUGUUACAGUCAGCUGAAGAAGCUUUGCUGCUUCAGAGAACAAAUAGCACUAGGUGAUCAGGUUCGUACGGUAAGGCCCAACAAUUAAUCAGUCCAUACAAAUCCUAUCGCAACAACGAACCAUAAAAUCAUUAGAGAAAUGUUCAGGAACACAACGAUGAAGACCUACGGAAGGUUCCUUGAUAUGAGACGACCCACGGGACCCUCGGUUACGUUACGAUUGGAGAAUGCGCCAACUCCCA
rnacentral:lncRNA from 1 species